rnacentral:misc_RNA from 1 species
UCUCCGUAGGUGAACCUGCGGAGGGAUCAUUACUGAGUGAGGGCCUUCGGGCUCGACCUCCAACCCUUUGUGAACACAACCUGUUGCUUCGGGGGCGACCCUGCCGUUUGGCGCGGCGCCACCGGAGGCUCAUCAAACACUGCAUCUUUGCGUCGGAGUCUUAAUGAAUUUAAACAAAACUUUUAACAACUGAUCUCUUGGUUCUGGCAUCGAUGAAGAACGCAGC